rnacentral:lncRNA from 1 species
AUGUUUUCCCUGGUUUACAGAUUUGAGAAAGCUGAAGCUCAUAAAGGUUAUUUUGCUUACGUUUAUAGAGAUGUGUUCCUUGAAAUGGCAUUCUUGAUUGAGAGCCCACAGGAUUCCUGAAUUUUAAAUCGAAGCUCCUGGUGACUCAGACUUUAAUUGGACACACCUCUUGGCUCAGACUAUUGAUAAUUAGUCCAUUAAACAUUAAGGAACUCUACACCUUCAAGCCUUCAAAAUACUACGGCAGCAAUAGAGAAGGUGUAAUUUAUUAUAACUCUUGUAUGGUUACACAAAUAUAGGGAUAACAAUUACAGUGCUUUUUACUUUUAGACUCUGGCAGUCUCCUCAUUAUUCCAACUUCCAAAUUAGAAGGAAAUGAAGGUGUCAUAAAUGGGAUGGCUACUUCAUUCAAAGUGGGAUAAUGACAAUGCUAGGGUAAUAUGGUCUGGCUCUGUGUCCCUGCCCAAGUCUCAUAUUGAAUUGUAAUCCCCAGUGUUGGGGAAGGAACACAGUGGGAGGUGGUUGGAUCACGAGGGAGGAUUUUCCCCUUCCUGUUCUUGUGAUAGUGAGUUCUCGUGAGAUCUGGUUGCUGAAAAGUGUGUAGCUCUUCUCUUUUCACUCUCUCUUCCUUCUGCUCCACCAUGUGAAGAAGGUACUUGCUUCCCCUUUGCUAUUCCACCAUGAUUUUGAGUUUCCUGAGGCCUCCGCAGCCAUGCCUCCUGUAUAGCCUGUGGAACUGUGAAUCAAUUAAAACUCUUUUCUUUAUAAAUUACCCAGUCUCAGGUAGUUCUUUAUAACACUUUGAGAACAGACUAAUACAUAGGGUAAAAUUAGGGUUUUCUGACCCAAAUGAGAAUCAAAAUUUAAGGCUCUCAGUGCUAGUUUUGAACUUGCCACUGAUGAGCAAGAACGUGUUAGGCAACUAAUUCAACUUGCCUGUGUCUUAGCUUUUCUGGUGUAAAAUUUAUAUGUUAGAAUAUAAAAUGGGACAUCCCUUCCUGUUACAUUUUUUAAAAUUAUUUAUUUUUAUGUUUGGGGAAUGAGAUUAGGAUGGGAAGGAAAGAGUCAGUUGUGGGUCCACAAGGAAGAAGGGAGUAAAAAGAACAUGGGUUAAGCAUCAAGAGGGUCUGUGUUCCAAUCUUGGGCUCAGCUGUUUAAUGGUAAUUUCUGAGCAGGACGUGAAAUAAAUGGACAUAGGAGGGGCUUUACAGACAACUCUCCUUCCUUCCCUUAAGCCAGGUAAGUAAGUGGGUGUUAUUUGCAUUGUAAUUAUUUAUACUUUACCCACAUUUUGUAUAUUAUCUUU